GAACCAGUAAUUUCGGAGUGAUCAUCUUUUCUCUUCCUUAGCUCACAGAUAUUUGCUGCUAUCUGUUUUACGCUUUCACAAUAACUUCCAUUUGCAUCACUCUUUACAUGACUACAUCUGAGAGAAGUGUACGCUUUCUUUAGCUUGCCCAUGGUGAUGUGAAGAUGAGAAGAAAUAGCAAGGCCCAACCAGUUCUUCAUCUGGAGACAGUUCAACGUUCUGCAAACCAGAUCUUCAGGAAUUUUACUGGGAUAAUUAUCCAAAUAAAUUGCAAGCAUUCUAUCCAAAUGGAGCUCUUUCUGAGAUGAAGAGAAUUCUCAAUGUCAAGAUUUGAACAAGAAGAGAAUGGAAUACACAAUAUGGACAUCCAUAAAAAUUCAUCAGAGAGCAUUUUACUACUGAGCUGCAAAGGGAAAAACUUAAAAUGGAUAUGAAAAGUGAAGAAAGUGAUCAUAGGAGAAAACCAUUUCAGAUGACAAGAGCACCUCAAAGGCAGCAGCCUCAAGGAGCAGCCAUGGCCCCAGACUUGUCGCACGGAUGCAGAAAACUUAAUGGAGGAGGCUGAGGUCAGAAUGGGAAGAGUUUUUAAAAAAUAAAAAGGGGAGCUAAUAUGUGA
rnacentral:lncRNA from 1 species